GUGUGUUAACUUUGUUGAGUAUAC
rnacentral:snRNA from 1 species